GCUGGGUCGCGCGGCGCCAGCCGCUCAACGGUGCUUCAGAGCAGCCUCCUCCACAACAUUCCCCUCGGCCCGGCCGUUCGGGCCUACUGGAGACCGCGGCUUGGGCCUAGUCUGGCGGCCGCCCGGCGAACGGGCAAGUGGCGUCGUCGCUGGGCCGGCAGGAGAUACUCGCGAGCAAACCAACGGGGAAAGAGAUGAACCGGCCGCCACGUCCGAGGCACACGGCCCGAAAAGUCGCUGGGAGAAGCCCAGUGGCGGUGGUAGGCAAUUCGGAGUAGUCAAUAAAGUUUAUUCAAAACAAUGAGGAAGUUGAGGCGGAGAGGGGAGGAGAAAUACGGGAUAAACAGCUACCAUGUUGAGAGUGGCGGCGCUACCCAGACAACCAAGGCGACCGCCAUCUUAUGAGGGCUGGACUCGCGAGGUGAGCGCGGCGGAGGCGGGGAACCGCGAGCCGCCGGCUCCCGGGUGACGUCAUCGGGGGGGCGGGGCGCCACCUUGAGAAAGGAGGGCGGUUCUCAGCCACCUUUGGACCCGCUCGUCUCUUUAAGGUGCCCAAUCGCCGCUGAAGACCUUGAGCCCAGAGGCGGAGAAGCCGCCAUCUUAGGCGAGGCAGACGUUUGGCUCCAUUUUGAGUGGGGCCCGAAACUUCCUAGCCUUCCCCCUCCUCCGGGCAAACAGGGAGUUCAGCUACCCCGACUCGCACACUCCUCCUCCCCAGCCUUCUCCUCCUAUGAGAGGAGGUGAACUCGGUGACUCCAAACUACAAAAUUAAUAGGUGGCGGCGGGGGCGGGCUUCAGCCGGGGUAGAGGCGGAGUACUCACCGCGGCUCCUGUUCAUUGAGCACCUUCGAUAGGCUGGGCUCUUUCCCACGGUCUCUGCGUUGUUGGUUCUUCCCCCUGUGAAGGAAGCUCUGUGAUUAUCACCAAAUGAAGGCAGGGGCUUCGAGAAGCCAAGUGACUUGAGUCCCGGAGCAGGGACGUUGAACCUUGUGCCCUGUGCUACCCGCGUUCUGUCCCCAGGCCCUCAGUGUAGUUCCUCUGUAAAGCUGCUGCCAACUCCACAACUCCCUCUGAACUCUUCUUUGACCCUACUGUUUCACUUCAGUUCAAAUACAGUUCAAGGAUUUGUUUGCACCUGUCCCACAAUUUUCUGACUAUAGCCUGAGGGGAGGGG
rnacentral:lncRNA from 10 species